rnacentral:rRNA from 1 species
UACAGAGGUCCCGAGCGUUGUUCGGAUUCACUGGGCGUAAAGGGUGCGUAGGUGGCUUUGCAAGUCUGAUGUGAAAUCUCCGGGCUUAACCCGGAAAUGGCAUUAGAAACUGUGAGGCUUGAGGCCUGGAGGGGGAACUGGAAUUCUCGGUGUAGCAGUGAAAUGCGUAGAGAUCGAGAGGAACACCAGUGGCGAAGGCGAGUUCCUGGACAAGCUCCUGACACUGAGGCACGAAAGCCGGGGGGAGCAAACAGG